rnacentral:miRNA from 1 species
GAAUGCCCUUUCAAAUCCUGGG